rnacentral:rRNA from 1 species
GACGAACGCUGGCGGCGUGCUUAACACAUGCCAGUCGAACGGACAGGCCCUGCUGUUGUUGGGUGCUCGAGUGGCGAACGGGUGAGUAACACGUGAGUAACCUGCCCUUGACUUUGGGAUAACUUCAGGAAACUGUGGCUAAUACCGGCUAGUAGCUCCUGCUGCUUAUUGUGGGUUGGUAAGUUUCUGCGGUUUGCGAUGGAGUCGCUGCUUAGCGGCCUGGUGGUGUGGUAGUUGGUUGCCAAGGCUUUGACGGGUGGCCGGCCUGAUAGGGUGACCGGCCAAGAUGGCAAUGAGAGGCGGCAGAGACUCAUACGCGGGGAAGGAGGGGAGACUGAUGGAGAAUGGGCGGAAGCGUGAUGAAGCAACGCGGCGUGCGGGAUGCCGGUGUUCGGGUUGUAAACCGCUUUCGCCUGUGACGAAGCGUGGGUGACGGUAAUGGGUAAAGAAGCACCGGCUAACUACGU